GACGGAGUGGCCGAGCGGUCUAAGGCGCAGGAUUAAGGCUCCUGUUCGAAAGAGCGCGGGUUCAAAUCCCGUCUCCGUCA
rnacentral:tRNA from 1 species